UUCAGUACAUACAAUAAACAAUUAUUUCUAACUUCAUUCCAGCAUUGAGCAUUGUAUUCGGUCAAAAUUCCUCCACAAUCCGGUCUUCCACUCAAGAAAUCUGUACUUCCACAACACUCGCGGUACCUAUAAAUAUUCUAAAAAUAAUUACGGUUUGUGAUCGGGUUACAUAUAAAAAGUGGCGAUAACUAUUUAUUUCAAUAUUAAAUACACAGGAGCUUCACAGUUAUGGCGUUACGGUAAGACAACCGGAACCGGAAUUGGGAAUCGUUGAUAGUUCUUAUUAACUCUAAAUCAUUUUUAGAUAAUUAUUUCGAGGCAAUUGGUCUGGGAGUCCAACGCGAGUAUAAAUGCAACUUUCUGUCUCCUACUUUAUAUCAAAAUGGACGAUGAUCAUAUCAGAUUGAUGGUGGAUGAAUUAUAAUCUGGUUCUAGCUAUGAAGAGGAAACUGACAGUAACACAAAAGACUAUGUGGAGGAGGAAGUAGCCACCGAGCAAGAGGGUGGCAAAGACUAGAUAUAUUAUGAGAUAAAAGUAGAGAAAGUAGUGAUUUUUACAUAGGGGGUGUGUUGUAGGUGCGUGGAUUUAGAAUGCCAUACUUCAAUAUGCUGCGGUUGGAAUUUUGAAUUUUGACUUGGUAAUGUCCGGUGGUGGAAUUCAGCUGCUGGAAUCAACCCGAACAGCUCCUCUGAGCGUUCCGCGG